rnacentral:rRNA from 1 species
UACGUAGGGUGCGAGCGUUGUCCGGAAUUACUGGGCGUAAAGAGCUCGUAGGUGGUUUGUCGCGUUGUUCGUGAAAACUCACAGCUCAACUGUGGGCGUGCGGGCGAUACGGGCAGACUGGAGUACUGCAGGGGAGACUGGAAUUCCUGGUGUAGCGGUGGAAUGCGCAGAUAUCAGGAGGAACACCGGUGGCGAAGGCGAGUCUCUGGACGACUCCUGACACUGAGGCACGAAAGCUGGGGGAGCAAACAGG